rnacentral:rRNA from 1 species
UACGUAGGGUGCGAGCGUUAAUCGGAAUUACUGGGCGUAAAGCGUGCGCAGGCGGUUCGUUGUGUCGGCGGUGAAAGCCCCGGGCUCAACCUGGGAAUGGCGAUGGAUACUGGCGGGCUAGAGUGCGGUAGAGGAGAGUGGAAUUCCCGGUGUAGCAGUGAAAUGCGUAGAGAUCGGGAGGAACAUCAGUUGCGAAGGCGGCUCUCUGGACCAGCACUGACACUGAGGCACGAAGGUCAGGGGAGCAAACGGG